AAAAGUUUGGUCCUAACUUUACUGUCGCCUAAAGCUAGAUUUACACAUGUAAGUAUCCGCACUCCAGUGAGAAUGCCCUUAACUCUCUUAUGAGAUAAAGGAGCAGGUAUCAGGCACGCACUACUGCCCACAACACCUUGCUUAGCCACACCCUCAAGGGAAUUCAACAGUGAUAGACAUUAAGCCAUAAGUGCAAACUUGACUUAGUCAAAGCUUUUUAGGGCCGGUAAAACUCGUGCCAGCCACCGCGGUUAUACGAGAGGCUCAAGCUGACAGAAUUCGGCGUAAAGAGUGGUUAGGAGUAAAAAAAAAUUAAAGCUAAACCCCUUCAAAGCCGUUAUACGCAUUCGAAGACCUGAAAUCCCAUUACGAAAGUGGCUUUAAUCCCCUGAACCCACGAAAGCUAUGGAACAAACUGGGAUUAGAUACCCCACUAUGCAUAGCCGUAAACAUUGAUUCAUCUUACCCUUAAUCCGCCCGGGGACUACAAGUAUUAACUUAAAACCCAAAGGACUUGGCGGUGCUUUAGACCCACCUAGAGGAGCCUGUUCUAGAACUGAUAACCCCCGUUAAACCUCACCCUCCCUUGUUAUUCCCGCCUAUAUACCGCCGUCGUCAGCUUACCCUUUGAGGGCAUCAAAGUGAGCAUAAUUGGCACACCCCAAAACGUCAGGUCGAGGUGUAGUACAUGGGAGGGGAAGAAAUGGGCUACAUUCGUCCACCGACGAACAACGAAUGAUCUAUUGAAAUAUAGACCUAAAGGAGGAUUUAGUAGUAAAAGGAAAACAGAGUGUUCCUUUGAAAACAGCUCUGAAGCGCGCACACACCGCCCGUCACUCUCCCCUAGAACUCAAACAGCAUAACUAAUACAAGACUAUCUAAAGGGGAGGCAAGUCGUAACAUGGUAAGUGUACCGGAAGGUGCACUUGGAAUA
rnacentral:ncRNA from 1 species